rnacentral:lncRNA from 1 species
UGUUUAAAGUAUUUCUAACACAAAUAAAAUAUUUGUGUGCAUAACAUUUAUUCAAAAUGUUUUUAUUAAAGGAAACAAUUUUUAAAUUUAGAGAACUUUUUCAAUACCCUGUACAGUCAUUAGAUAUUGGAAUAGCAUAUAGCAGAAAACUGGAAAUUAGUGAAAUCCAAAAAACUUUUAAUAUAAAAGAUAUUUCAAAAUUUAUGUUGCUACCCUAUAAUGGGGGUGGUGUUCCAAUACCACUAUUAAAUUAAAUUUUAUUAUUUUCAGAAUUCAAAAUGAACAAAGACGUGCGACUCCCAAGAGCUAAUGAAGUUGAUACAAGUCAUUCAUAAUAAAAUUGAUGUUUUGUCUGGUAUACACUGUUUUAUUUUUUAUUAUAAAAAACAAUUUUUUUCAGAAAACAUUAACAAAAAUAAUAAUGAAAUUAUUAGCAACAAAACAACAAUACAAAAUGAAUUAAAAGAUAUUAAGAACCAAAACACAAUAAUAUUAGACGUUUUGGCAGAAAAUACCGCUGCGAUGAAGAGUUGCAUAAAGAAUAACAUCCCAAAAUAUACAAAGACUUUUCCGAGCAAUUUGUGGCCAACGUGGCAUUAAAGAAAGGAUGAGAGAGAUCAUAAAGCCCGAAGUUUUGGAUUUAUAUAAUUUAAAUAGAACUCACAACAAAUUGCGUCUUUUAAAUUUUCCAAAAUUUAUGCAUGUUUUAUUUGAUAGCUGGUACCUAUUGUGAAGGCAAUACCAAUAAAACAUCAUCAACAUCAAAUCGGACAUUAGAAAUUCUUUAAAAAUAGCAAAAAAAUCGGUAUUGCAAGGAAAAAAAUAAAUCUGCUGCAUCCAAAGAAAAUACAACUUCAACAGAAGACGAUUUCUUUGAAAAACACUAUAAUUUAUUAAUAAAUUCAUAAGAAAUACAAAAUUACCUAAAUUUACUUUGCAUUAUUUUUUGUUAAUUGCCUUUUUUGUUCUCAAACAUAUUAAGGGUUUUCAUUUAAACGUUCAAAACCCUCGUAAACUGUGCAACCUGUGCAUGUUUCCAUUCUAGCAAUUGACUUGUGUGGAAAUUGAUUUACACAACCCUUAUAAGUUUGAGCGACUAUUUAGACUGGCAAACUUGCGCAAACACAUUGUGCAUUUAAUAAAUCCGUCCGUUCACUUUUGAAUUUAUGGACUUGAAUAUUCACAUUUUAAACAUAGUUUGUAAAAUUUUUUGUUAAAAUAAUUUAUUUAUUAUUUUUUGAUUUUGUUUAACAUUUAGGGUUUUCAUUUAAACGUUCAAAACUCUCGUAAACUGUGCAAUCUGUGCAUGUUUCCAUCCCCGCAAUUGAAUUGUAUGAAAAUUGAUUUGCACAACCCUUAUAAGUUUGAGCGACUAUUUAGACUGGCAAACUUAAGCAAACUCAUAGUGCAUUUAAUAAAUCUGUUCACUUAUUGUUCACUUUCGAAUUUAUGGGCUUGGAUUUUCACAUUUUUAGCAUAUUUUGUACAUUUUUUUGUUAAAAUACUUUAUUUUUUAUUUUUCGAUUUCGUUUGACAUUGCUGUAAAAUGUUUAUAACAAUUGUAA